GCUUCAGUGGACCCGUGCGGGUUGCGGGCAAAGAGUAGUAUAGUGUUGCGGGCAUCGUUCCCUUUCACUCACCUCACCUACGCCUUCAUUGGAGUAAAGUGCUAAUUACAUCCACACUUCAUCAGGCCUCAUAACAGACCCGAUUUCGGGCCCGAGAAAUAAUAUUUUUCCGUUUCACCAAAUUCAUCAGCACAUCGUUUACAAUAUUUCAAAUGUAAAAGAAAGGGUUCAUAUUCAAUAAUAUCAAACAUUGAACAUUUUUGGCAAUAGUGACAAAUUAUUUUUUAUAUAUCAAAUAUUGCUAACGAUGUGUUGAUAUUCCGUGAAACGGAAACGCUUAUCGGGCCCGAAAUCGGGAAGUGUGGAUGUAAUUGGCGCUUAAAAGAGAAAGGGCAUUUUUCGAAUUUCCGUUUUCGCGGAAGCCCUCGGGAGAUUCUAUGCACGGGAGCUUACGUGUUUUGGAAAUUGAAUGAAUCUGUGGUAUUCUGUCUAUCCUUAUACCCUAUCUUGUCUGUGGUUUCAGUUGACGUUUCAGCGGGGGACCCGUGUUGGGAUUUCACGAGUAUUUUCAAUUAAUUAGUUUGCACAGCUUAUUAUUACUAAUUAGAUAGUGUUAGUGUCGUGUACUCCAACUUAAGGGUUCGGCCUUGUAUUUGUGUAGAACAUCAAAUGUGUGGAUACCAUGGUUUUAACGGCUGAAGAAGUUAAACAACGCUAUCCUCUACAUUGGAUGGUGUGGAACGAUAAUCAUGAACAUUUGAAGAGACAUUUAGAAGAAAAUACGGUUCCAACGGAAGAAUUGGAGCUCCGGGACCCCCGAGGUCGGACCCCACUGUUGUUGGCGGUAACACUGGGCUUGACCGAGUGUGUUAAAGUGCUGAUUGACGCCGGCGCUGAUGUCAACUGCGAGAAAGAUGGUUGGACGGUGGUCCAAGAGGCGACGUCGACGGGCGACCCCGGUAUCCUAGGUUUAGUGUUGUCCCGGCGGGACUAUUUGCGGCACGCGGUGCGGGCAGGGGGCAUCCCGGACCUAUUGAACCGACUCAGUCUGGCCCCGGAUUUCUAUGUGGAGAUGAAAUGGGAAUUUACCAGUUGGGUGCCUUUAGUAUCGCGGAUGUGUCCAUUCGACACGUAUAAAGUAUACAAGCGGGGCGGUAACGUGCGCGUCGACACCACCCUCGUCGGUUUCGAGAACAACCACUGGCAGAGGGGCGACAGGACGUAUAUAUUUAGGGGACAGGGUGCGAACGCAACUCUAACGGAAAUGGACCACGAGCUAGGCACGAUGUGGAGUGAGACCCUGGAGCCGGCGACGGGGCGCGCCUGGCCGCCGCCCGCGCCCGCCGCCCUCGCCGCAAGACUGUCGCAGCCCAUUGCGCUUAACUAUUUAGACACUGACAAAAUUAGCUUUGAGAGAAAUAAAAGCGGAAUUUGGGGAUGGAGGCAAGACAAGACAGAAGUGGUCAACACGUACGAGUGCAAAGUGUUCAGCGCGAACAACGUCGAGCUAGUUUCCAAAACUAGGACCGAACAUCUGUCUAAAGCAGACAAAAACAAGCUGGCGCCCCGGGCGCCUUUAGCGGGGCUGCUGGCGCUCGCGGACCGCGACAGUGGCGCCACCACCCCCACCACUCCCGACUCGUUCCCAGAAGAAGACAUCGCAAACAGGAUGACAAACUCGCGGUCACAGCAGGAGCUCGCGGUCACGUGGCAGGAGUACUUCUCCGACGAGCCGCUAGAGAGAGACAUCGGCAAGCCGAAGGAAGUCACCACUAAAGUGCAAAAGUUCAGAGCCACGCUGUGGCUGUGUGAAGACUACCCGUUAGAGCUCCAAGAGCAGAUAAUGCCUAUCCUGGACCUGAUGGCGUCCAUGUCGUCCCCGCAUUUCGCCAAGCUGAAGGACUUUAUACAGAUGCAGCUGCCCGCCGGCUUCCCAGUCAAAAUUGAAAUCCCCCUAUUCCACGUGCUAAACGCCCGUAUAACGUUCGGCAACAUAUUCGGCACGGAAACGCCGGUGCCACACGUAGAAUGCAUACAAGAAGGCGAUCGCCUGUCGUGUAUAGUGGACGAUGCGUGCUUCAAUCUGGCCAAGGGUUACAGGGAUGCACUAGCGACCGACGAACGGAUAGCAUGCAGUAUGGAGCACGACGAGAGUUUACUGCAGUACGCCAUCCAGCAGAGCCUCAUGGAUCCCGGCACUCAUGAGGAUCAGGUGGACGUGUGGGAGGCGCUGCGCGGCGCGCGCGCGUCGCCGUCCGCCUCGCCGCGGCCGCGCUCGCCGCUGCCGCCGCAAGGGGUCCACGUCGACCUGCUCGCGCACGAGGAGCGCCAGCUGCAGAAGUACGUAUAUUGUAAUAGUAUACAGUAAGGCGGUCGGUGUGCAGGUGGACGUGUGGGAGGCGCUGCGCGGCGCGCGCGCGUCGCCGUCCGCCUCGCCGCGGCCGCGCUCGCCGCUGCCGCCGCAAGGGGUCCACGUCGACCUGCUCGCGCACGAGGAGCGCCAGCUGCAGAAGUACGUAUAUUGUAAUAGUAUACAGUAAGGCGGUCGGUGUGCAGGUGGACGUGUGGGAGGCGCUGCGCGGCGCGCGCGCGUCGCCGUCCGCCUCGCCGCGGCCGCGCUCGCCGCUGCCGCCGCAAGGGGUCCACGUCGACCUGCUCGCGCACGAGGAGCGCCAGCUGCAGAAGUACGUAUAUUGUAAUAGUAUACAGUAAGGCGGUCGGUGUGCAGGUGGACGUGUGGGAGGCGCUGCGCGGCGCGCGCGCGUCGCCGUCCGCCUCGCCGCGGCCGCGCUCGCCGCUGCCGCCGCAAGGGGUCCACGUCGACCUGCUCGCGCACGAGGAGCGCCAGCUGCAGAAGUACGUAUAUUGUAAUAGUAUACAGUAAGGCGGUCGGUGUGCAGGUGGACGUGUGGGAGGCGCUGCGCGGCGCGCGCGCGUCGCCGUCCGCCUCGCCGCGGCCGCGCUCGCCGCUGCCGCCGCAAGGGGUCCACGUCGACCUGCUCGCGCACGAGGAGCGCCAGCUGCAGAAGUACGUAUAUUGUAAUAGUAUACAGUAAGGCGGUCGGUGUGCAGGUGGACGUGUGGGAGGCGCUGCGCGGCGCGCGCGCGUCGCCGUCCGCCUCGCCGCGGCCGCGCUCGCCGCUGCCGCCGCAAGGGGUCCACGUCGACCUGCUCGCGCACGAGGAGCGCCAGCUGCAGAAGUACGUAUAUUGUAAUAGUAUACAGUAAGGCGGUCGGUGUGCAGGUGGACGUGUGGGAGGCGCUGCGCGGCGCGCGCGCGUCGCCGUCCGCCUCGCCGCGGCCGCGCUCGCCGCUGCCGCCGCAAGGGGUCCACGUCGACCUGCUCGCGCACGAGGAGCGCCAGCUGCAGAAGUACGUAUAUUGUAAUAGUAUACAGUAAGGCGGUCGGUGUGCAGGUGGACGUGUGGGAGGCGCUGCGCGGCGCGCGCGCGUCGCCGUCCGCCUCGCCGCGGCCGCGCUCGCCGCUGCCGCCGCAAGGGGUCCACGUCGACCUGCUCGCGCACGAGGAGCGCCAGCUGCAGAAGUACGUAUAUUGUAAUAGUAUACAGUAAGGCGGUCGGUGUGCAGGUGGACGUGUGGGAGGCGCUGCGCGGCGCGCGCGCGUCGCCGUCCGCCUCGCCGCGGCCGCGCUCGCCGCUGCCGCCGCAAGGGGUCCACGUCGACCUGCUCGCGCACGAGGAGCGCCAGCUGCAGAAAGCUAUCGAAGCGUCCCUCGCGGCCAUCACCCUGUCCACACCGUCGCCCGCGUCCACACCGACCGACCCCGCGUUGCAGGAAGCCAUUGAGGAGUCCGCGAGGGAACUGGCCAAUAGGAGAGCGGAACUCGAGGCCGAGCAGAGGGAGCUAGAUGAGGCGCUGCGCCGGUCGCUGCUGGACCACUGAGGAUCUCAAAUAUACGGUACACUUAAGCGUCCACCAAAAGAAGACUUAGCUUAUACAUACAUUAUUAAUAAUAUAGCUAAAUUGUACAUUUAUUUAUGACAAACGGUGAUCAUACAACUAUUAGUGGCAGUACAUUUACACAAGCAUCUUUAUUCUAUUUUAUAUGAAUCUUAAAAUAAAGUAAACUAAAAAUCACGUGAUUUCGGCUAAUGACAUAAUUCCACAGAUACAAGAUGUGGUACAGGCAGCAUCAAAUAGACAGUGACGGCCAAAGUGAUCAAAUAUAUCGGAACAUAUUAUUUUAUCUACGAUAACAAAGACGUGCUAUGUAGGUACAGUAGGUAGGUAAAUAUCGACGCGGACAAAGUGACGUGGAAAAUAUGUAUACACGCCUAGUAGUGUGUACAUAAUUUUGGCAGUUUGUCCAUGUCGAUUUUAAUACCUUGACUACAUACAUCAUCAAAUGACCCAAGUCACGUGGUUUCUCUGUAUACAUCAUUUUAAAAUCCAUAUAGGUAGAAGUCUAUGAGGUGAUUUUAAAAUAUUUAAUUCACUAACAAUUUGUAACGAAAAUGAAUGCUUGUAUGUAGACAAAUUGCCACCAAUACGUAUAUUGUGCCUCUUUCCACGCCCGAUAAUGUUGGUGAAUAUUUAUAUUUAUAUAUACAAGUAAAAGUAUGAGGCUUAUAGAACCUGGCUAAAGAAAAAUUAAUCCAUUCGAUUAAUUUCUUCAGUCGGGACAAGUACGUUCAUAGGUCAAUGUACAUUUAGCGAGGCCCUCUGGUACACUUAUUUGAGGCGUGAGGCCCCUCGGACCGCGAGGCCGUCAGCAAACGCCUAACGCCGCUUCUGGUUAGAGGCCUUUUCAUCGUGACCAACCUUUUCUGUUCUGUACUAGUGUGCUUUAACCUCUUUAUUUAGGAUCAGAGGCGCAGGUGCCCUAUGGACGCAUUUGUCCCAACGAUACUUAAAUAAUUUCUUAGCCAAGUUCUGGUACAAUCGCCAUCAAAAAUAUCUACUAAACAAGGUACAGAAUAUCUAAACUUGUAUCUUAGUGUCUUGACAAUAGAGUUGUGCUUAGAUAUUUGGGAGUACCUUGUUCGAUCAGAUAUAUAUGAUGGCAAUUGUACAGGUACAGUCAGCUAUAGACGGAUGAGUUCUUAGAUCUUUUCAAGUUCGUCCUUUGUUGCUGAUUAGUACAGCUAGUACACAAAUAACACCACACACAUUUACAAAUGUAAAAUUCGAGUAAAUUUACUAACUCAUUGAGUGUUUAUUCGACUUAUACGUGAGCAACCCGAUUUAAACACUUAAUAUGUCCGAGUCUCACGUGAGUUUUCUAGUUAAAGGUUAGGUUAUUGUUGAAUUUAUUCGAAUUCUACGAAUUCGAUAUCGAAGUGCUGUAAAUUAAACAUACUAUGUAUAUAGUAAGGUAAAACGUAAUACAGCUAGCUGUAGUCAUAAUAAUAUUUGUAACCAAAGGUAUUGAGCAUGCAUUUAUUGGAAAUGCCAUUACACUAACGUAAUAAAAUUAUAAACCGCCUUUAAAUUUUUACAUAAACUCCGUAAAAUUAACAUAAUUUGUAAUAGAUACAAGUGCGAAAAAUAGAAAAUUCGAAACGAGUGGCGAUACAUUAAAACACCACCGAAGGGAGUGUUGUAAAUCGACACGAGUUGCGAAUUACAUAUUCGCACAUAUGUCCCUUUAAUUUUUCGACAUUGUUACGUAACGUGCUAAUUAUGGCACUAGAGCGGCAAAGUAGCACCAUAAUAUGUACUGUAAAAACUAUUUCCAAAUAUCAAUUAAAAUUUUCAGUUCAGCGCACUUACAACCCCUCUGGUGUUGCGGGUAUCUAUACCCACUGUCAUGGGCCACUGUAAUCGCUUACCAUCAAGUGAACCGUCUGCUCGUCUGUCUCCUAUAUCAUAAAAAACGCGUGCUCAAUACUCUUGGAUUAAGAUAAUAGCAAUAUUGGAAUUUCACUGUUUAUUUAAGAAUGGGAGCAAUAACUUAGCGUGAGCUAGCUAUUAUUUUGUCUUUUUGACUUUAACAUGAAUUAUCGGCUUACUUAAUUGUAGCUAUAAUUUGAAAUGACGUCAAAUUCCUAUGAAAAAUAUGGCGUUAUAAUGGCACCCCAAACUUCGUCAUUUCACAGUCUGUGCAGUGUUAAAUAGUUUAGACUACAAAUGUGCAUUUUUUUAAGUUUUUAAAAACUUUGAAACUUCUGGGAAAUUUCAGGAAAAACACAGGAAACAAAUUUUUAGUUUGAAAAUGGAAUAGAUUCGAUUCCUGUGCAAAAAUAUGACAAGUUUUUGAAUAUUUUCCAAGUGGAAAUUUUGCAGUUUUAGAAACUUUCCGACGGCACAUAAGGGGGCCUAGCCAAGAUGAGAAUCGUUUGCAGAAAACGAUAAGAAACGCUAUUGUCUCUCUAUCACUCUUCCAUAUUAGUGCGGUAGAGACAGAUAGCGUUUCGUUUGUCUGCGAACGUUUGCAAUCUUGGCUAGGCCCCCAGUAGUUUAGACGGACUCCAGAGGUGUAGGCUCUUAUUUUAUUUUUUAAUAUUUAUAUCUCUGUACAAGUGGUAGUUUUUAUUGCUAACUUUAUAUAAAUAAGAUACCAAUGGAGCCCCUUCUAAAGAUACAAUUUUAGUAGUAUACAUAUACUGUUAUCACUGAUCGUGAAAAAUCCGUGCUGAUAUGUAUGUGCGUAGUUUUUUACAUGUAUGUAAUGUUAGGGCGACCUGUGAGAAUCUUUAUAUACUUGAAACUGCCUUCUUGUGUCAAACUAUCCCUAGUAAAUCAUCUUGCGGCCCACCAUACAUAAAAAAAUACAGUCAAAUUUGAAUCCAUUGUAUUAGAAAUUAGAAUUGAAUUUGUUUCGUUUCAAAAUCAAACAUAACAAAAGCAACUCUGUUCCAUUUAAUAAUUAUGUAAAUUUCAUUUGAGGUAAUUUGUAUUAUUAUUAUUAGGACAACCCCAAGAGGUUAUUAGCCUCAGAUCACUUUGCGUAUCUCAUAGACCAGGGGCCCAUUUCUCGAACGGCAUUAGACUAAUAUCCACGAACUGUCAAGUCGUAUGGGUUGCCAUGGCAACACACUAAUAAUAUUAGACUAAUACCGUUCGACAAAUGGGCCCCUGUAAAACGCAUUACGGUCAACACAUUGACGCUCAAGAACUAAUGUAGUAUGAGAGCACUACUGUUGCAUUUAUACUCAGUAGAAAAUGGCGGCAAAUUUAAAAAAUGAAGGCGCGAAGAGUUGUCUACCCAUAGAAAAACGGCAAAUUAAAAAAAUGUCGGCGCUAUAAGUUGUCUUCCCAUGGAAAACUUGAAUUUCGCGCGUUUGUCUACUGACAAAGUAGGUGUGUAUUUAGUCUGGCAAGCCACCUUUGUCAGCGGAAAGCGGUAAUCUUCAGUAUUAAAUUAAAUGACAUAUGUAUCGUGUUCCGAAAAAGACGGUGGCUCGUGCCGGGGUGUGAACCCGCUACCUCCGGAUUGAAAGUGUCACGGUGUUACCGCUAGGCUACCAGCGCACACACAGCUUACACACGUAACUGCUUGUAGCAUUAAGUAAUUUAUCAUUAUUUAAAGCAGGUGACUAACGGAGGACCGGAGUCCGGAUCUGAACUGCCGACCUAUUUUUUUUUUGCUUGUUAAUAAACUGGAGUAGAAACGUACCGCGAUGGUCACUUUACUUUAAAAACUGGAACCCUGAAGAAACUACUUGGUGAUUCCUGAUUUAAAGCAUGGCACAUAGGCUAUGGUGGUAAAAAAUGGUGUAGAAGUCUUAGUAAUGCUGCUCCACUUACAAGUAAACGAGCGUCUUUGUGGUGACCGUGGUCUUCGUGAAAUGCUUCGUAAUGUGACGUCCAAACAUUAUGAGUUAACCUGUGUAUAUAGCAAUAUACAAAAAAUCGUAAGAAUUUUAGUGUUGUGAAAAAAGUUCAACGUAAAUCUUUUAAAAAAUAUGUUAAAAAAAUGACAUUACCUUCUUCCUACGCUUUAAGGUAAACACAUUUUCACUUCCUAUAUGUUAGCGUUAUUUAAGUAUUCUUAGGACGCAAUAAUUUGUUUAAGGUCUGUAUGGCUUUUUGUAAGAAUUCACUUUAAUUUACUAUAAAAAAAAAACGCACGGAAGAAACUUGUAUAACAAAUACUAUAUAUUAAAGUGUUUUCUUUCAGUAAGCCAACACUUUUGUGCAAUAAGUAUUUUAUUAAAGUAAUGUAAUAUUAAGUUAUUAUUAUUAAUUUGUCCAUAACUUUGAAAUAAUUAUUCUUAUAUCUUUCCAAAUUAAAUUAAAUGUGCUGUCUAAAUAAUAUGCAUCCUUUGCUUUAAAUUUUGACAUUAUCUAUUGGUUUAUGUAUUAUCUAUAUUUAUUUUGAUGAGUAAUAUGAAACUCCCUGGUAUGGAAUGUAGAAAAUGGAGCAAAAUCUCUGUGUAUGAAAAGUGACCAUAAAAAAAAACAUUAAAUAGAUGGCGCCACAAUACACCGAAAUGACCUAAUACUAAGACCUAAUAUUUUAUAUCGAUGUGCUAUACCCGUGCGCGACAUAACAUACGCUAUGCGACAAAAUUAAAAACACGUUUUAACAUUCCUGACAACAUACCUAAAACAGCCUACGUAAUUUCGGGUCGGGAUACGUAAUUUGUACCAUGGUUCAUGUAAUACCCAUGAGCCUACCUAGCGCCACCGGAGAGAUUAGGAACUAUUAUUUAAAGCUGAAAGCUGGUCACUUUUGCACAGUUCUGCCAUAAGGGAUUGUCGUCCUUUCUCUACCGUCUAUACACCCUGGGGCCCAUUUCUCGAACGGUAUUAGACUAAUACCGAGAGUCCUAGAACAGUCAAGUGUGCUGUGUGUAUGGGUUACCAUGGCAACACACUAAUAAUAUUAGACUGAUACCGUUCGAGAAAUGGGCCCCUGGAUGUAACCUCAAGUAAUAUGUACUCAAUAACUAAUGAAGGUAUGUAAAACAUUUUUUAUGUGAGAUUGGCAGGAUUUCAGAAAAAAAAUUACCCGUUUUGCCUUAAUUAUCCUUAAUAUUCCAUACAAAAUGUAUUAGGUCGUUUUGUAACGGUCCAUACAACAUGUAUGGUUAACUGCGUUACAAAACUGACGAUUAAAAGUGGGACACUUUUUUUUUUCUAAGUUGGAAUAACCCAAAAUUAGUUAGGUUUUUAAAAACUACACAGUACACUUUUUUUCUGAAAAUGCCCAUUAAGCAUAAUCGGUUUUCGUAAGUUUUAUUUCAAGGCACGAAGGUACCUAAUGCGGUGUGUCCUGUGUCCAAAUGUCCAAAUCAACUUUAUUUCGUUGUGAAACUUGUCUUAAAUGUGUCCUCUAACUUUGACGGCCCAAAUGUGACAUUUUCAACCAAAAGGUACCACAUUGUCGGUUGCCGAUGAGGUUGAUUUCAAAUUGAAGCAUUGUAUAUGGAAAUAGCGCCAUAUUGACAACCGACAAUAAGUACUUAACCUUAUGGUUGAAAAUGGCACAAAUAAUAAGUCAUCUCUUUUUAAUUAGUCCUUAGUUUUUCUAGUUAGGUCUUAUCUUUUUAUUUAUUUACUUAAAAACGCAAUAAAAGGCUUGUGUCAAUUGUAGACUUACAAUAAGUGUGCUCGAUCUUUGACAUGUUUAACCUCUUUCCGCCCAGAGGCCUUAAAAAGGUCUUCCAUUCCAUUCAAUUUUAAUCUUUAUUUUGAUAAAUCAAAAUUGCUUUUGUCUUAGCUAGUUUUGGUGUAUGGGCGGCUACAGGUUUUAAAAAUAACGCGAAUUGUGCCGGAGAUACGGCAUACCGAAGCCGUAAAUUGUAAGGGGAUGCUUCUUCGUUGCCUCACAGGAAAUUAUUAAAUCAAAUUAGGCUUCGUUUCAAAAAGUGUGCGCAAUAGAAGUAAACAAAGAAGUAUCCACUUUAAAUUUAUUUAUGUUUCCCUUUGUAUUUAUAAUGACAUGAUGAUUGUGAAUUUAAGGCCCCCGAGUAUUAGAAACGGAUGUUUCGUUAUGUGAAUAAAAUUUAUUGGAAUA